UGGGGAAUAUUGGACAAUGGGCGCAAGCCUGAUCCAGCCAUGCCGCGUGAGUGACGAAGGCCUUAGGGUUGUAAAGCUCUUUUGGCGGGGACGAUAAUGACGGUACCCGCAGAAUAAGCCCCGGCUAACUUCGUGCCAGCAGCCGCGGUAAUACGAAGGGGGCUAGCGUUGUUCGGAAUUACUGGGCGUAAAGCGCACGUAGGCGGACUUUCAAGUCAGGGGUGAAAUCCCGGGGCUCAACCUCGGAACUGCCUCUGAUACUGUUGGUCUUGAAUCCGGUAGAGGUGGGUGGAAUUCCUAGUGUAGAGGUGAAAUUCGCAGAUAUUAGGAAGAACACCGGUGGCGAAGGCGGCCCACUGGACCGGUAUUGACGCUGAGGUGCGGAAGCGUGGGGAGCAAACAGGAUUAGAUACCCACGUAGUCCCUGAGCGGGCUGGCAAGGCGCAU
rnacentral:rRNA from 1 species